CUGAUUCAACGGACGUGGCAGGUGACGGGACGCCGACGUGGUAGGGGGAGCGCCAAGAUCCCUGGCGCCGACCUUGGCGCCAAGUCCCCAGCGCCCAGCUCUCCCUCCCUCUCUCACGCUCUGUCCCGCUCGGCUUUCCUUUGCCCAGCCCACGCUCCCCUCCCUCUCCCUCCUGUGCCGCAGCUCCGCUCCCCUCCCGCGCCGCCCCUCCACUCGCCGCCCGCGUCGGGCCCCACCUCGCUGCCCCCGUCCCGCACCGCACCCGGCUGCCUCCCGCAACCACCGACGGCGAGGAUGAUAGCCGAGGGCCAGUGGGCCUGCGUGCCCCGCUCCCCCGGUCGAGGUGCUGCGCCGCACCUCCCGGCUGUCGGCCGAGCGGCUGAGCUGAGCCGCACCGGAGGUAACUCAAUUCUUUUUAGUUAAAUUAGUUGAUGUAGUUAGCAAAUUAAUUUAGAUAAUUAGAAAAAUUAGCUAGAUAGUUUGAUUGUUAUGUAGUUAGGCAUGUAGCUAGGUAAUUUAGUUAUCUAGUUUAAUGUAGUUAGCAAGUUCUUUUAGAAAAUUUAGUUAGUUACAUAGUUAGGUAAUUUUGUUAGUUAGCAAAUGUAGAUAGUUAGCAAACUGAUUUAGAUAGUUAGGAGCUGUAGUUAGCAAAUAUAGGUAGAUAGUUAGAUAGAUAGUUAAAUUAGUUAUAUAGUUAGGUAACUUUUUUUAGUUAAAUUAGUUUAGAUAAUUUAGUUAUAUAAUUUUAGUAGUUUAGUUAGAUAAUAUAGUUACAAAUUUUCUGUAGAUAAUUAAGUCUUUAGUUAGGUAUUUUGUUAGCUAAUUAAGUUAGUUAACUUGGGUAAUUUUAGGUAGUUAGUUAGGUAUUUGUUAGCUAAUUAAGUUAGUUAACUUAGGUAAUUUUAGGUAGUUAGUUAGGUAAUGUAGUUAUGUAAUUUAGUUAGGUAAUUGAGUUAGAUAGUAAAUUUAGUUAGGUAAUUUAGUUAGCAGAUAUAGUUAGGUAAUUUAGUUAGUUAGCAAAUCUAGAUAGAUAGACAAUCUUGUUACUCUUUUUAUUAACUGCAUAAUAAAUUUCCUGUUGUUAAUAUCAACUAGAUGGACAAUGUAGUCACCGCAUAUGAUGAAGGAAGUGUCAAGGAAGAUGAGUUUGAGAAUGUUAGUUUUGUUGGAAUGCACAGAUCUCUCUGAUAUUCAAUGAUCAGCCGUUGUUCACUGAGUUAUUUGGUAGGGCUCGUGAUGAGCUUCUCUGCAAUUCAAAUGAGGAUGCCAUUGUUGGGUAUUUUUACGAUCACAAAUAAAUCUGCAAGCGCAUAGAUACCGUUGUAGCUUUCACCUAGGAGUAUUUCGGGGUAACGUAGUGUAUAUUCUCUAAGGUUCAGGUUCAUCCAAGAAUACCACACUGGAUAGAGGAAAGGGAUAGAGAGGAUUCCUAAGGCUAAGAAUUAGAGAUAAUAUAGAUCUGUCCUAAUUGUUCACGUCGGACUUCUAGCUUCCCACAGGACAAAACCUGGUGAGCUUCGGUAAUACGGUACUGGGAUAGACAGGGUUAUGUGUAACACCCUAAGGUAAUUUCCUUAAAUUUUAAUGAAUUUAUUUGAGCUUAAAUAAAUUCUCCAGUCUUUUCCUUAAUUUUUUGUGACAUUUAAAGUAAUUUUAUAACACAAGAGAAUAAAAUUUAUGAUAAGUUCAACAUGUUUGUGCAUUCAUGCUGGUGCAUAAGUUUUAUUUGGUUGAGUGCAUAGGGGUUUGAAUUCAAAUUUGAGUCGAAUUCAAAUAGAAUUGAGUUGGGUUGAUAAAGAAAAGGGAAGAAGGUAGAAAGUAGGUCAGUCAUUCCUUCCUUUCUCAGUAAUUCCUUUCCUUUCUCUGUCAUUCCUUCCUUUCUCAGUAAUUCCUUUCCUUUCUCUGUCAUUCCUUCCUUUCUCAGUAAUUCCUUUCCUUUCUCUGUCAUUCCUUCCUUUCUCAGUAAUUCCUUUCCUUUCUCUGUCAUUCCUUCCUUUCUCAGUAAUUCCUUUCCUUUCUCUGUCAUUCCUUCCUUUCUCAGUAAUUCCUUUCCUUUCUCUGUCAUUCCUUCCUUUCCCAGUAAUUCCUUUCUAUUCUCAGUCAUUCCCCUAUUCUCAGUCAUUUCUGCUAUUCUCGGUUAUUCUUUCUAAUCCCAGUAAUUCCUUUCUAUUCUCAGUCAUUCCCUCAGCCUGACCCCACCUGUCGGCCCCUGCCCCCUCUCCUCCUUCUUCCCCGGCGCUCAACUUCCCCCGAGAUCCCCGGCGAGCUUCCUUAUCCGGGCCCGCACGCCCAGGGCAGCGCCGCCGCCCUACAAGUAGCGGCCCCACGCCCCUCAGAACCCUAAUCCCAGCCCUGCAACCCGAAGAUCCCAGCACCGCCGCCCUUUUUCUUCUUCCGCUCCGGUUACCUCGGCCUCACCGUGGUCCGGGCGCUCCGCCGUGCUUCAGACCGCCACAUCCCCCGCAAGAGUUCCCCCUCGCCAUCCCGAAGCUCCCCGAGCUCAGUGCCGAAGCCCUACGCCUCGGUAUCGACGGGAAUUCGCGAAGAAGCCGCCGCCGGUGAGCCGCUCCGCCGUUCCAAUUCGUCGCCGCCGGUGCCGUUCCGGUCCUGUUGAUUCCCUUUGCAUCUCCGCAGGACCCUCCCGGAGCGUUUCCGCCAUCCAGAGGACCCGGCCACCCUACAUCGACCUCCUCCGCGGGCCCCGCCGCGACCGCCGCCCGAACCUCGCCGUCGACCCCUCUACGUCGGCGUUUCUCCCGUUUCCAGGGCUCGGUAAGCACCAGCUCGCCCCUUUUGUUCUCUUGCGACAGUUGGAUAGGCCGUAGCCCCUGGAGCUAUAGAACGCCGUCGCCGGAGUGCGCCGCCGUGCAGACCCACCGCCCCCGCGAGCCCAACCAGAUCGGACCAGUCCGAUCCAGAUCGGACCGUCCGACCACGCUGUUCAGAUCGGACCGUCCGAACCGGAGUGCGCCGAACCGUGCGAUUUAGAUCCAACCGCCCAGAUUAGAAGCCGUGUACCCCUUCAGCCGUGGCAGUUUUGCUAAAGAGCCCCUGCCUUUUGGGGAAAUCAACCCGCAGUCCUAUUUAGUUCAAAAAUAAUUACAGGCAGGUCUUUUUCUUUCCGUUUGACCCCCCUGCGCUUCCUGGAAUUUGAACCCGCAGUCCAGUCUAGGGUUUUUAGCGAGUUAGCCCCUGUGUCUAGGGUUUAAUUACGUUUAGGUCCCCGGGUUUUGUCCAGAAGCCCCUGGUUGCCCUGUUUUUCUUACAAAUAGGUCCCUGGAUCCUGUUUUAAGCGCAGUUUUCGCGUUUUAGCUCCGUUUUAGGUGUUCUUUAUAUCCUCGCGAUCGUUGUAACGCGUAGAUUAGUUCUAGGCUAGUUCCAUGUGCUGUUCUAUUGUAUUGGUGUACUGUUUUCUUAUAGUUUGCUAUUGUUUGUGCAUGUGUGUAUGUAUGGACUAUGUUUGAUGAUCGUGAGUAGACGCGGAGCCUUUGGACCAGUACCAGGAGCAGCCGUCUUCCGAGCAGUUCGAGCAGCAGCCGGGAGAGUACGAGGAAGGCAAGUAUAACAUGAACCUCCUGUCACUUUUAAAUACAAUUUCAUACUGCAUUUUAAUACUGUAUACCUAUAAGGACUUCCUAGCCACCUUUAUAUCCUUAUAUAUAUAUCCUAUGGGUUGCAUUUUGGUUAGUUGUGCUAGGUUGCUGCGCUAUAACAAAUCUUGGUCCUUUUUAAUUAAUUUGAUUAAUGAUCUUAUGCAACUUAAUUCUGGAGUCGACCCUCUGUGCUGUGUGCUUGAGUGGUUUGUGCGUCCUUAAAAAUAUGUUUUUUUAGAAACAUGGUUUAGGGGGCCGGCACGGUGCUUAGUGCUUGGUUGGCCACUCUCCAUAAGGACCGGUUCAUAGAGCGACAACCUGGGACAACCGCGCAACCACAAGACUGGAAUGGGACGGUCUUGACUUACUAAUUAGGUCAUUUUGGUUCGGGAGUAACUUACCUGCGUGGGCAAGAGGGGUGGUAGGCUUCAAUGGUCCCUGCUCCUCCGGCUUGGUCUGUGCUGUGUGUCUUGUACCCCCGGAGGUGGGCCCCAUCGUCGCUGAUCCAGAAUACUUAGCGGUUACACCUUACCAACGUGAUCCUUUGUAACGGUCUCGUAGUGCGCUUGCUAGCCAUCUCACCUAAGGAAGUGUGAUGAACAACUAGCGUAGCUCACGACUUGUGGGUAAAGUUGUGCAACCUCUCGAGAGUGUAAAACUGAUAUAUCAGCUGUGCUCACAGUCAUGAGCGGCCCAGAUCCUCCGUCUGAUUAGUGGGGUUAUCAACCUCUGACGAGGGCGAUUCCCCGGGUGGUUUUGGUUUGGAUGGUUCUCAGUAGUUCUUAAUUAAUAUUGAUUAAUUCUUAUGCAAUUUGGGUUAUGGUAACUCACCCACUUGUAGUGAUUAGCUUUAAUAAAAUUUGCCAAGAUUAAAAGCUAAUGCAGUUGAGUCAGCUAACCCUAGAGCCUCAUGCUCGUGUUAUACUUGUUGAGUACUAGUUUGUACUCACACUUGUCUCUCUACUCUUCUGUUCUAUUUCGGCUAUUUUCGACUGCUGCUCAGUGCCCGGCAACGUGGAGGACUACGUUAGCGGCUUCGACAACUUCUAGGUGUUUGUCUCCCAGUCGACGUCCCUGUGGCGCCCAGCUCUUUAUGUAUCUCUAUUACGCUUCCGCAACUCUUGAACCGAUUCUUGAUUCGGUUGUAAUAAAAUAAUUUAUUUAUGAUUCGUUUACGAUUUAUAUUAAUGUUAUUCCUGACAUGUGUUGUGAUAUCUUGAUAAUCUGUUGUAUAUAUGCGUGAC
rnacentral:lncRNA from 1 species